GGCUCAGGAUGAACGCUGGCGGCGUGCUUAACACAUGCAAGUCGAACGAAGCACCUCUGAUUGAUUCUUCGGAUGAAAGAUUUGGUGACUGAGUGGCGACGGGUGAGUAACGCGUGGGUAACCUGCCUCAUACAGGGGGAUAACAGUUAGAAAUGACUGCUAAUACCGCAUAAGCGCACAGUACCGCAUGGUACGGUGUGAAAAACUCCGGUGGUAUGAGAUGGACCCGCGUCUGAUUAGCUAGUUGGUGGGGUAACGGCCUACCAAGGCGACGAUCAGUAGCCGGCCUGAGAGGGUGAACGGCCACAUUGGGACUGAGACACGGCCCAAACUCCUACGGGAGGCAGCAGUGGGGAAUAUUGCACAAUGGGGGAAACCCUGAUGCAGCGACGCCGCGUGAGCGAUGAAGUAUUUCGGUAUGUAAAGCUCUAUCAGCAGGGAAGAAAAUGACGGUACCUGACUAAGAAGCACCGGCUAAAUACGUG
rnacentral:rRNA from 1 species